rnacentral:misc_RNA from 1 species
AACGCAUAUUGCACUCGCGGCCCCGGCCAAGAGUAUGUCUGCAUCAGCGUCGGUUUGACCCCUCACCCUACAUGUAUGUAGUGCAUCUGGCUACGGCCGGUUGCCAUGGGUGGAUCUGACAUUCCCAUUGGAAACAAUGGGUUUGUUGAAGCACAGUGGCACUCAAGGUCCCUUAAAGGGCACAACUGGAUAACGUGGUUCAUACUGCGCGAAAGUUGUUGUCUUGAGACCUUGAUCCUUGCCAACAAGGAAACCAUCAACCAUUCGACCUGAGCUCAGGCAAGACUACCCGCUGAACUUAA